AACCGAGUAAAUUUCAGCAGCGCAAGGGCACAUGCGCCGUAUAAAUUUUAACUUUUAAUUGAUUUGCAAUGUAAAGAACUUAGUAAAUUGCAUCAGUAAAUAACCGAAACUAUAUUAUAUAAGAAGGAAAAUGUAUACCGAGUACACAAUAAGUUGUACAUAGCCUACAAUGUAAAAAUUCUACUGUUGAGGGGGGAGAAUGUAACGAAGUCGUUACAACAACGGCCACACACCUACCCGCAUCUCCGAGCCAACAACAAGAACGCCGCGGGGUGGGGCACCGCACAGACCACUCCGGGUGACCAGAGGGGAAGCGGGACGGCACGGCCGCCGCACCUAUAAAGCACCGCAAGACCGCCGCUCCGGCACCAUUCGUCAACUCCAGCUCCGGCGUCUGAUCAGCUCCCAUCCCGUGCUUCCUUCCCA